AGCGAACGCUGGCGGCAGGCCUAACACAUGCAAGUCGAACGAACUCUUCGGAGUUAGUGGCGGACGGGUGAGUAACACGUGGGAACGUGCCUUUUGGUUCGGAAUAACUCAGGGAAACUUGUGCUAAUACCGAAUGCGCCCUUCGGGGGAAAGAUUUAUCGCCAUUAGAGCGGCCCGCGUCUGAUUAGCUAGUUGGUGAGGUAACGGCUCACCAAGGCGACGAUCAGUAGCUGGUCUGAGAGGAUGACCAGCCACACUGGGACUGAGACACGGCCCAGACUCCUACGGGAGGCAGCAGUGGGGAAUCUUGCGAAAUGGGCGAAAGCCUGACGCAGCCAUGCCGCGUGAAUGAUGAAGGUCUUAGGAUUGUAAAAUUCUUUCACCGGGGACGAUAAUGACGGUACCCGGAGAAGAAGCCCCGGCUAACUUCGUG
rnacentral:rRNA from 1 species